GAAUAACCUUAGCACGUGAUUGAUGACGUUGUUGGGAGUCAGGCAUAUGAGAAGCCGCCAUUGUUCCUUCUUUUCCUGUGUCGCAUAGUUUUUGCUUAUAGUUUGUAUCUGUGUGAAACCUGUGGAAUUUAUAAACAAAAACUCAAGAAAGCAAAUACUUUAUCCAACAUAAAUAAUAUCUUAUUUGGCGUACAAACAUUAAAAAUAGCCGAGUUCAUUGACAGAUUGUGGAAUGUCCACUAGCGUUGAUCAGCAUAUGAAAGCUCAAGGAAGUUCAGUUUCGAAUGGUCCGAAGGAUACGAUAAAGGAUGAAGAUUUUGAUUCCUGGCGAAAUCAGCCUCAGCAGGCAUACAAUGCACCAAUGCCUUCGACUAGUAUGGGUGAUCCCUACAUGCCUAGCUACUAUCCAUCUAUGUCCUUUCCCUACCUUAAUCAAGGUUUAGGUGAUGGUGCAUGGAGCAAUGGGGGAGAUCCAAUGACCUUCCUUGGUGGAUAUGGUGGACAGAUAGGAGGUGGUGAUCAACACUCUCAUUAUAUGGAUGGUAUGUUUGGUCAAAGUAGUUUCACUGGUUAUAGUCAAGGUUUCAACUUCUUUCAUGGUGGAAGUGGUGACUACUCAGCUUGGGGUAACUCGGGUAUGGGAGGACGUAAACCAGGGCCUGCUGGACAUGGCUAUCAUGAUGACUACUAUCGAGACACGUAUGAGCAAGUUGUUGACCGUGGGGUUCUGAAACAUGUUGAACAGGGGAUGGGAGGACUAUCCCUUAGUGACCAUAAAACAGAAAUGCAGUUCUCAAAAGAUGGAUAUCAUAAAUCAGGAGUAGCCCCUGGACCAGGGCCUUUAAUGACAGAUCAUCAAUUAGCAAAAAAAUUUAUAGCAUCCCCAGUGGAACAUCUUUCUAUGGUUGGCCCUGGACCAGGAGUUCCAGGACAACCAGUUGGUUCCAAGAAGAUGACCUGGGCAUCUAUUGCUAGCCAACCUGCCAAACCUCAACAAAGGUGUAAACCUAAGUGUAUUCCUCCAGCACCCAUGUUGCAAGGAAAACAUAAUACAUCCAGCAUGGACAUUGGUACAUGGGAAAGUAAAAAUGGCAAUGGACCUAUCAUUGGGGAGAAAAUGGGGCCACCACUUCCGCCUUCACAAACAAGAUCAGCCCCAUGGGGAAAUCCCCGUGUGGGGCGAAAUAAUGGACCAUCUGGACAUGGGUAUAUGACUCCUCCACAACAAACUCAGCAAAUUUUAGCUCAGAACCAACUGUCAGUUGGGGGAGAUGGAUUUCCUACUCAUCCAGUCCUCGAUAAACUCUGUAUGGAAAACAGUUACAACCCUAAAGAUUUUGAUAUGAAUCCUAAAAAUGCCAGGUUUUUCAUAAUAAAAUCAUAUUCUGAAGAUGAUAUACAUCGGUCCAUCAAGUACUCAAUCUGGUGUUCGACAGAACAUGGUAAUAAACGUUUGGAUGCUGCAUUUCAUGAGCGUGAAGGAAAGGGCCCAAUCUUUUUGUUCUUCAGUGUGAAUGGAUCAGGACAUUUCUGUGGAAUGGCUCAGAUGGUCUCACAGGUAGACUAUGGUGCAUCCUCAGGUGUCUGGGCUCAGGACAAAUGGAAGGGUCAGUUUAAGGUCAAAUGGAUCUAUGUCAAGGAUGUGCCGAAUUCACAACUCCGUCACAUCAAACUGGAAAACAAUGAAAACAAACCUGUAACAAACUCUCGUGACACUCAAGAAGUUCCCACUGAGAAGGGUAAACAAGUAUUGAAGAUUAUGCAUAACUUCAGACACUCCACAUCAAUCUUUGAUGAUUUUCUUCAUUAUGAAAAACGUCAAGAAGAAGAUGAACAGCGUAGGACCCAGUACUAGAUUGGAGCCAAUAAUUAAUAUUCACCUCAGCAAGGGAUGUUCUCAUGCUUUCCUCGAGGAAAUAGAGGACAACCGGAACAUUAACAUGUGCAUCCUGUAGUGGCUGUGAACUUCGUUCGAUGUUUUUAUCCAAUAUAUUGUGCUUGUAUGUGACAACGUGAAAUAUCCGUUCAGCAGCAACACUUGUGUUUUUUUUUUUUUUAACUUGCAACUAAAUAUCAUUGAUUGUUUCAACUGCCAGUCAAUUUUCUGCCCUUUUUGGAACAACUGCUGUAGUCCACUCUUUGAUGUUCUGUUAACCCUGCAUCUUAUUAGCUCGCUUUAUAUCGACCUAUGAGAUAUUUGUGCAUUGCAUCAGAUUAUUGGCAAAUGAUGGGUAUGGGAUUACAACUAAUUUUAGUCAUUAACCUUGUUUAUUGAAUUGGGACUCCUGUAGUCCCCGGAAGGUUUGGGACUGCUCCACUUGCCUAGCAAGGAAGCCUUGCACUUGUCAAAAAGUUUUAUUUGGUUCUAUCUAUAACUUCUACGAAGUACAAGAGCAUGAUGACAGCAACACUAGCAGCUCCAAACUUAAGCCUACAGUAUCAGACUUCUUAGGAUUUUCCUAAGUGUGUUGAUUAAUAAACAUGUUUUCAAAAUGAUUCCACCCCGUUGCUCCCCUGAACCUCCAUAUUACACUUGACUGAAUCAACUCAGCGAGAGGAAAGAUGGUAAACAGUGGCGUUUGGACUUCUCUCUGGACCUAAGAAACUCCCAAAACUAUUCAGACACAUUUAUUGUGACUCAAAAACUCUGUUAGUGGAAACCUAGUCCACUGUGCAAAUUAACAGCAAUCGUAUGUUAUUUAGAAGCUACUGCUGGAUUGAUGGUUGCUGUGGCAACAGCAAAAAGUUUUGAUCUAGGCAUAUUUAAUCCAUUCCGAGAGGCUGCUGUGUAGCUGUCUGCUUGAAGAAUGCAAAGUUUGUCAGCUAUACUUGAAAUAAAUAUACAUUGUUUGGUUUUAGAACUGACAUCAUUAAUUUUUGUUUUUCUUUUUACUUCUGGGCCCCAACAGUUAACUAUUGUAACAGGAUUUCAUUUGAUUGGUGUGUAUAUAUAUGUGCAUCUGUGACACCUGUGGAGUUUUAUUGUUUUUUUAUGUACUUGGUAGUACUGACACAACACAUUUGAUUUGGAUACCAGCAGAAAGUGUUAUUGAUCAUGACAUGAGAUUCAUAAAUCGUGUUUUUGAAACCUACGAUUUACUAUUAUAUCUUCUUAAUAUGCUAGAAAUAUACUAUUUGCAACUUUAAUUAUAUAUACAACUUUCUUAAGAUAUUUUAUUAUGCAGUGUAUGAUACUAUAUAUAUUGAAUUGGGUGACAAACAGCAAGAUAAAAAGUAUUUUUAUCCUUGAGACAAUUUUGAAAAAGUUAUUUUCCAUACCUGAUUAUUAUAGCAUUCUAGUGUGCAAAACCUUUACAAUAAAUAAACGUUCGUGAAAAUGGAUAAUUUCUUUCAAUGGAGACAAACUUUAUUUUGGUGUUUAUUACAAAAUUAUGUAAACUGACCCUGUUUUAAUAAUGUGUUCAGUGAUUUAUGUAUUAUAUCCAUAAAAUUUACCAAAAAGGGGUUUUGUAGGAAAUUGUAGAUACUAUUUUUUUUCCUUUAUCUGACAUAGCCUUUGUGUUCAUAAUAAAAAAAAAUAUACCAUUUAUUAAUCUAUAGAGAUUUACAAGUUAGAACUGGGAAAUUAUUUUAUUCUUUUAAUUCAAAAUAUGUUAGCUUGUGCAUUGAUUUUAUGUACUAUUUAGCAAUCUUAUAUUUUCUUUUUUAUAAAAACCAAUUAUUCUUUAUGAAUUAAAUAUUAUAAAGAACUAUGUUUGUGAAAUUAACACAAAUUUUUAUUGAUUGUACAUAGUGAAACUUUUAUUUAUUUUAUUCACAUUGUUUUGCCAGGUUUACCUAGCAUCAUCAGUUGCCACCUGGUGAAACAUUUUGAAUAAAAUAAACAAAAUUUUUGCUAUGUACAACCAAUAAAAACUUGUGUCGAAAAAGAGAAAGAUGUUUAACUAAGCAACUUUUGACUGCCUAACCCCGAGUUGAAAAAUUUAGAUAUUGUUGCAUCAACAGUUAUUCAUGAGUAAAGGUUUUGACAUUAGUUACAAACAGAAAACCCAAAACGUACUUAAUGAAGACAUAAAUAUUGUACUUAGAAAAACUCGAUGAAGAUUUGAUGCUAAGUUUUUGUCUGGAAAUAUUUUUUUAGCAUUGUUAUUUUUCACUUCCAGUAUCAGCUGUGAAACUAUGUAUACUUAUAAUCCACAUUGUUAAUCAUUUAAAAUAAGAUGCAUAUUUUGGUACAAAAGUUGUUUUUUUGCAGCACUUUAUCUGACAUGGAUUUUUUGUUUUUAAUUUUUAAAUAAUAGAAGGUAAACAAAUCUAGAAUAAGGAAACUUAGUUCUUAUUUUGCAAGAUAAAUAUUUUACUUUCAAGAUCUUGAGUUACUUUUGGGGGUGAGAAGGUGAAACAAACAUGUUGGUGGAUGCGACUCAACAUACAGUGAGUAUUGUUCGGUGUGUGAAAACUGUUUCAGAAUGGUGUAAUUUAUCUUGUGUAAAAAAAGAAAUCUUGGUUAUGGCUUAAAUGGUGGAAUAGCAGUUUUUUUAAUUUUAUAAGGACAUUGAAUGUGAAUUAAGUAUUUGAAACAUGAACCAUGCUGUUAAUUAACUUCAUAUAUAUGUGUAAUUUUUUUCUAUUUGUUUUGAAGUUUAUGCAUCUGUCACAUAAAUUAUGUUGUUAAGAAUGGAGAACUUUAAAAAAGAUCGUAAGAAAAAUCAAAGGAAAUACUAGAUUUUGUUGUAAUAAGAAAAGUGGCAGUUUGUUAUUUUAAUAUUUUGUUUUACGCAUGUAUGCUACACCAGUUUAUUUUGAUCAGGAGUUGUUUUUGGUUCUGGAUCAUUCACAGAGUUUAAAGGAAUGGGUACAGACUUUUGGUAAUACCUUUGCAACCCCCUAAUAUAUCUCUAAUGCAUAACUUAUAAUUAAUAUAACACUACUACUUCCAUUGCAUUUAAUAAAUUUGCUAGAAUUUUAUUUGGAUUAAUCAAUAUAAAUAAGUACACUUUUUUUUUCUCAUUUGUUGUUAUAAUUAUUUGACAGCUUAAAAGUUUUGGAUAAUUUUUGAAACUUACUAAUAAUGUAACCGUUCAAUGAAUUAUGAUAUGUGCUGGUGUUACGCCUGUAACAUAAAGAAACUGUUGUGGCCCAGAUGACUAAGAAAAAAAUAAAAUGAUUAAGAAUAGUGGAAGGAAUGUACAGCUAAUAAGUUUUUAAUUUAAAUAAGGGUUUUAGCAUCUACCUAAGAAGAAGAAUUUCAUUUGUGCCUAAAACAGGGAGAAGAAAAAAAAAGAUGAAAUAUAAAUGGACUUCAAUUUUAUUACUGUCACUGAACAAAAUUGUACAUUCCUUGUUCGUAUCCUCUGUUUAAUUAAGUAAGAGGUGAUAAACACUUUGACAAGUGUUUCUUCUGGAUGGGUAUUGUGGAAAAUGAUUUUAGCCUGGCUAAUAAAAUAAAGCAGAAUCA